rnacentral:rRNA from 1 species
AGAUUGAACGCUGGCGGAAUGCUUUACACAUGCAAGUCGAACGGCAGCACGGGGGCAACCCUGGUGGCGAGUGGCGAACGGGUGAGUAAUACAUCGGAACGUGCCCAAUCGUGGGGGAUAACGUAGCGAAAGCUACGCUAAUACCGCAUACGAUCUACGGAUGAAAGCGGGGGAUCGCAAGACCUCGCGCGAAUGGAGCGGCCGAUGGCAGAUUAGGUAGUUGGUGGGGUAAAGGCUCACCAAGCCAACGAUCUGUAGCUGGUCUGAGAGGACGACCAGCCACACUGGGACUGAGACACGGCCCAGACUCCUACGGGAGGCAGCAGUGGGGAAUUUUGGACAAUGGGCGCAAGCCUGAUCCAGCCAUUCCGCGUGCAGGAUGAAGCCCGUCGGUGUAAACGUGACUUUUUGUACCGGAAGAAAACGUCCUUACGUUACUAAUACAAGGUAGGACUAUAGACGGUAACCGUAAGUAA